UUUUUUUUUUUUUUUUUUUUUUUUUUUUUUGGGAAAGGAUGUUUUUUUAUUAC
rnacentral:ribozyme from 13 species